rnacentral:rRNA from 1 species
AACCAACGCUGGCGGCGUGCCUAAUACAUGCAAGUCGAACGGGGAAAGCUUUCGGGUGAGUACUAGUGGCGCACGGGUGAGGAACGCGUGGAUAAUCUGCCUUAGAGUGGGGGAUAACUAGUCGAAAGAUUAACUAAUACCGCAUAAGACCACGAGAGCUGCGGCUUUUGAGGUCAAAGGUUUUUCGCUCUAAGAUGAGUCCGCGUAAGAUUAGCUAGUUGGUGAGGUAACGGCUCACCAAGGCGACGAUCUUUAACUGGUCUGAGAGGAUGAUCAGUCACACUGGAACUGAGACACGGUCCAGACUCCUACGGGAGGCAGCAGUAGGGAAUAUUGCACAAUGGAGGAAACUCUGAUGCAGCGACGCCGCGUGAGUGAUGAAGGCCUUCGGGUCGUAAAGCUCUGUCGCAGGGGAAUAACACAAUGAAGGUACCCUGUAAGAAAGGAUCGGCUAACUUCGUG